rnacentral:rRNA from 1 species
AGAGUUUGAUCCUGGCUCAGAACGAACGCUGGCGGCGUGCUUAAUACAUGCAAGUCGUACGAGAAAGUCCCGCUUGCGGGAUGAGUAGAGUGGCGAACGGGUGAGUAACACGUAAGAAACCUACCCUUAAGUUCGGGAUAACCUUGCCAACGCGGGGCUAAUACCGGAUGUGGUUUGAGUAUCGCAUGGUAUUUCAACUAAAGGUGACCUCUCCUUGGAAGUUACUGCUUGAGGAUGGUCUUGCGCCCCAUUAGCUAGUUGGCGGGGUAAUGGCCCACCAAGGCGACGAUGGGUAGCCGGCCUGAGAGGGUGAACGGCCACAUUGGGACUGAGAUACGGCCCAGACUCCUACGGGAGGCAGCAGUAGGGAAUAUUGCGCAAUGGACGAAAGUCUGACGCAGCAACGCCGCGUGAGGGAUGACGGCCUUCGGGUUGUAAACCUCUUUUAUUUGGGAAGAAAAGGCUCGUGGCUAAUAUCUGCGAGCUAUGACGGUACCAUUUGAAUAAGCCCCGGCUAACUACGUGCCAGCAGCCGCGGUAAUACGUAGGGGGCAAGCGUUGUUCGGAUUCACUGGGCGUAAAGGGAGCGUAGGCGGAACGGUAAGUUAGGAGUUAAAGGCGUGGGCUUAACCCAUCGUAUGCUUCUAAUACUGUCGUUCUUGAGUAUGGGAGAGGGUAAUGGAAUUCCAGGUGUAGCGGUGGAAUGCGUAGAUAUCUGGAAGAACACCAGUAGCGAAGGCGGUUACCUGGCCCAAUACUGACGCUGAGGCUCGAAAGUCGGGGGAGCAAACAGGAUUAGAUACCCUGGUAGUCCCGACCGUAAACGAUGGACACUAGUUGCUGGGAGAGUCAAUCCUUUCAGUGACGAAGUUAACGCAUUAAGUGUCCCGCCUGGGGAGUACGCUCGCAAGGGUGAAACUCAAAGGAAUUGACGGGGGCCCGCACAAGCGGUGGAGUAUGUGCUUUAAUUCGAUGCAACGCGAAGAACCUUACCUGGGUUUGACAUGGGAGAGAAACUUUCCAGAGAUGGAUUGCCUACCUUCGGGUACUCUCUACACAGGUGCUGCAUGGUUGUCGUCAGCUCGUGUCGUGAGAUGUUGGGUUAAGUCCCGCAACGAGCGCAACCCUCGCCCUUAGUUGCCAGCGAGUAAUGUCGGGAACUCUAAGGGGACCGCCUGGUUUAACCAGGAGGAAGGUGGGGAUGACGUCAAAUCCUCAUGGCCCUUACGCCCAGGGCUAGACACGUACUACAAUGGCCGGUACAAUGGGAUGCCAAGCCGCGAGGUGGAGCCAAUCCCCAAAAACCGGUCUCAGUCCGGAUUGGAGUCUGCAAUUCGACUCCAUGAAGUUGGAAUCGCUAGUAAUCGUGGAUCAGCAUGCCACGGUGAAUACGUUCCCGGGCCUUGUACACACCGCCCGUCAAGCCAUGAAAGAUGGGAGCACCCGAAGUCGUUGACCUAACCCGCAAGGGAGGGAGAUGCCGAAGGUGAGACUGUUAAUUGGGGCUAAGUCGUAACAAGGUA